rnacentral:rRNA from 1 species
ACGGAAGGCAGCAGUGGGGGAUAUUGCACAAUGGGGGAAACCCUGAUGCAGCAACGCCACGUGUGGGAAGAAGCAUUUCGGUGUGUAAACCACUGUCGUGAGGGAAUAACGCUUGAUUUCGGUCAAGUUGAAUGUACCUCGAAAGGAAGCACCGGCAAACUUCGUGCCAGCAGCCGCGGUAAUACGAGGGGUGCAAGCGUUGUUCGGAAUCACUGGGCGUAAAGGGAGCGCAGGCGGAGAUGCAAGCGGACUGUACAAUCCCGGGGCCCAACCCCGGACCUGCAGUCCGGACUGCACCUCUUGGAUAGUUCAGGGGCAAGCGGAAUUCCUGGUGUAGCGGUGGAAUGCGUAGAGAUCAGGAAGAACACCGAUGGCGAAGGCAGCUUGCUGGGCCUUAACUGACGCUGAGGCUCGAAAGUGUGGGGAGCAAACAGGAUUAGAUACCCUGGUA